AUUCUGUAGCAAGGUUAACCGUAUAGGGGAGCCGUAGGGAAACCGAGUCUUAACCGGGCGUUAAGUUGCAGGGUAUAGACCCGAAACCCGGUGAUCUAGCCAUGGGCAGGUUGAAGGUUGGGUAACACUAACUGGAGGACCGAACCGACUAAUGUUGAAAAAUUAGCGGAUGACCUGUGGCUGGGGGUGAAAGGCCAAUCAAACCGGGAGAUAGCUGGUUCUCCCCGAAAGCUAUUUAGGUAGCGCCUCGUGAAUUCAUCUCCGGGGGUAGAGCACUGUUUCGGCUAGGGGGCCAUCCCGGCUUACCAACCCGAUGCAAACUGCGAAUACCGGAGAAUGUUAUCACGGGAGACACACGGCGGGUGCUAACGUCCGUCGUGAAGAGGGAAACAACCCAGACCGCCAGCUAAGGUCCCAAAGUCAUAGUUAAGUGGGAAACGAUGUGGGAAGGCCCAGACAGCCAGGAUGUUGGCUUAGAAGCAGCCAUCAUUUAAAGAAAGCGUAAUAGCUCACUGGUCGAGUCGGCCUGCGCGGAAGAUGUAACGGGGCUAAACUAUGCACCGAAGCUGCGGCAGCGACACUAUGUGUUGUUGGGUAGGGGAGCGUUCUGUAAGCCUGUGAAGGUGUGUCGUGAGGCAUGCUGGAGGUAUCAGAAGUGCGAAUGCUGACAUAAGUAACGAUAAAGCGGGUGAAAAGCCCGCUCGCCGGAAGACCAAGGGUUCCUGUCCAACGUUAAUCGGGGCAGGGUGAGUCGACCCCUAAGGCGAGGCCGAAAGGCGUAGUCGAUGGGAAACGGGUUAAUAUUCCCGUACUUGGUGUUACUGCGAAGGGGGGACGGAGAAGGCUAUGUUGGCCGGGCGACGGUUGUCCCGGUUUAAGCGUGUAGGUGUGUGUUCCAGGUAAAUCCGGUUCACUUUAACACUGAGGCGUGAUGACGAGGCACUACGGUGCUGAAGCAACAAAUGCCCUGCUUCCAGGAAAAGCCUCUAAGCAUCAGGUAACAUCAAAUCGUACCCCAAACCGACACAGGUGGUCAGGUAGAGAAUACCAAGGCGCUUGAGAGAACUCGGGUGAAGGAACUAGGCAAAAUGGUGCCGUAACUUCGGGAGAAGGCACGCUGACACGUAGGUGAAGUGAUUUACUCAUGGAGCUGAAGUCAGUCGAAGAUACCAGCUGGCUGCAACUGUUUAUUAAAAACACAGCACUGUGCAAACACGAAAGUGGACGUAUACGGUGUGACGCCUGCCCGGUGCCGGAAGGUUAAUUGAUGGGGUCAGCGCAAGCGAAGCUCCUGAUCGAAGCCCCGGUAAACGGCGGCCGUAACUAUAACGGUCCUAAGGUAGCGAAAUUCCUUGUCGGGUAAGUUCCGACCUGCACGAAUGGCGUAAUGAUGGCCAGGCUGUCUCCACCCGAGACUCAGUGAAAUUGAACUCGCUGUGAAGAUGCAGUGUACCCGCGGCAAGACGGAAAGACCCCGUGAACCUUUACUAUAGCUUGACACUGAACAUUGAGCCUUGAUGUGUAGGAUAGGUGGGAGGCUUUGAAGUGUGGACGCCAGUCUGCAUGGAGCCGACCUUGAAAUACCACCCUUUAAUGUUUGAUGUUCUAACGUGGACCCGUGAUCCGGGUUGCGGACAGUGUCUGGUGGGUAGUUUGACUGGGGCGGUCUCCUCCUAAAGAGUAACGGAGGAGCACGAAGGUUGGCUAAUCCUGGUCGGACAUCAGGAGGUUAGUGCAAUGGCAUAAGCCAGCUUGACUGCGAGCGUGACGGCGCGAGCAGGUGCGAAAGCAGGUCAUAGUGAUCCGGUGGUUCUGAAUGGAAGGGCCAUCGCUCAACGGAUAAAAGGUACUCCGGGGAUAACAGGCUGAUACCGCCCAAGAGUUCAUAUCGACGGCGGUGUUUGGCACCUCGAUGUCGGCUCAUCACAUCCUGGGGCUGAAGUAGGUCCCAAGGGUAUGGCUGUUCGCCAUUUAAAGUGGUACGCGAGCUGGGUUUAGAACGUCGUGAGACAGUUCGGUCCCUAUCUGCCGUGGGCGCUGGAGAACUGAGGGGGGCUGCUCCUAGUACGAGAGGACCGGAGUGGACGCAUCACUGGUGUUCGGGUUGUCAUGCCAAUGGCACUGCCCGGUAGCUAAAUGCGGAAGAGAUAAGUGCUGAAAGCAUCUAAGCACGAAACUUGCCCCGAG
rnacentral:rRNA from 1 species